AUUGAACGCUGGCGGCAGGCCUAACACAUGCAAGUCGAGCGAGCGGCGGACGGGUGAGUAAUGUCUGGGAAACCGCCCGAUGGAGGGGGGUAAAUACUGGAAACGGUAGCUAAUACCGCAUACCAUCAGAUGUGCCCAGAUGGGAUUCGCUAGGCUGUGGGGUAACGGCUCACCUAGGCGACGAUCGCUAGCUGGUCUGAGAGGAUGACCAGCCACACUGGAACUGAGACACGGUCCAGACUCCUACGGGAGGCAGCAGUGGGGAAUAUUGCACAAUGGGCGAAAGCCUGAUGCAGCCAUGCCGCGUGUGUGAUGAAGGCCUUCGGGUUGUAAAGCUCUUUCAGCGGGGAGGCGUUACCCGCAGAAGAAGCACCGGCUAACUCCGUGCCAGCAGCCGCGGUAAUUC
rnacentral:rRNA from 1 species